UACAGAGGGUGCGAGCGUUAAUCGGAAUUACUGGGCGUAAAGCGCACGUAGGUGGCGACGUAAGUCGGGUGUGAAAGCCCCGGGCUCAACCUGGGAAUUGCAUUCGAGACUGCAUUGCUGGAGUACGGAAGAGGAAGGCGGAAUUCCCGGUGUAGCGGUGAAAUUCGUAGAUAUCGAGAGGAACACCGGUGGCGAAGGCGGCCAACUGGACGAAUACUGACGCUGAGACUCGAAAGCGUGGGGAGCAAACAGG
rnacentral:rRNA from 1 species